UACGUAGGGCGCAAGCGUUAUCCGGAAUUAUUGGGCGUAAAGAGCUCGUAGGCGGUUUGUCGCGUCUGCCGUGAAAGUCCGGGGCUCAACUCCGGAUCUGCGGUGGGUACGGGCAGACUAGAGUGAUGUAGGGGAGACUGGAAUUCCUGGUGUAGCGGUGAAAUGCGCAGAUAUCAGGAGGAACACCGAUGGCGGAGGCAGGUCUCUGGGCCGAUACUGACGCUGAGGAGCGAAAGCGUGGGGAGCGAACAGG
rnacentral:rRNA from 1 species